AAGGCCUUAGCUUAAAUUAAAGUGUCUGGGUUGCAAUCAGAAGAUGUUGAUUAGGUUCUGCAGGUCUUA
rnacentral:tRNA from 1 species